ensembl:rRNA 5S_rRNA 5S ribosomal RNA
GCCUACGGCCAUACCACCCUGAGAACGCCCGAUCUCGUCUGAUCUCGGAAGCUAAGCAGGGUCGGGCCCGGUUAGUACUUGGAUGGGAGACCGCCUGGGAAUACCGGGUGCUGUAGGCU